CCGCAAACCUGCCUCUUGAGACACCUUCCCGGCAGUGGGAACCGUCCUAUCCCGCCCCUGGUUAGGCCAAGGGCGUGACACUUUGAAUUCCUUCACCUCCCUUCACUAACAGACAACCCCACGGGAAUCUCAAGCAGGCUGCAGGCCUUUCUCAGUUCUCGAUUAAUCUUCGAAGACAUUCCUUCCGUCCUAGUCCGGAGGAGUGGCCCAGUAAAAUGAAUGAGUUUUUAAAAUUCUGGAUAAGAACAAGAAAGAGGAAGUGGAACCUGUGUUAAAUCAUCCUAAUGUUCUUGUAUGUGUGGGAAGAGAGCAGAGAUACUGGAUAACUUUAAACUUUCUUAAGGGGACAUCAGUCUUCGUUUUAUUAAGGGCUUCAAACUAAUAGGAUGAUGCCCACCCACAUUAUGGAGAGUAAUCUUCUUCACAGAAAUAAUGCCAUUUGCAGUGACAUGGAUGGACCUAGAGAUUGUCAUACUGAGUGA